GACGUAGGGCGCGAGCGUUGUCCGGAUUUAUUGGGCGUAAAGAGCUCGUAGGCGGCUUGUCGCGUCGACUGUGAAAACCCACAGCUUAACUGUGGGCGUGCGGGCGAUACGGGCAGACUGGAGUACUGCAGGGGAGACUGGAAUUCCUGGUGUAGCGGUGGAAUGCGCAGAUAUCAGGAGGAACACCGGUGGCGAAGGCGGGUCUCUGGGCAGUAACUGACGCUGAGGAGCGAAAGCGUGGGGAGCAAACAGG
rnacentral:rRNA from 1 species